GGGUUGUGAGGUUAAGCGACUAAGCGUACACGGUGGAUGCCCUGGCAGUCAGAGGCGAUGAAGGACGUGCUAAUCUGCGAAAAGCGUCGGUAAGGUGAUAUGAACCGUUAUAACCGGCGAUGUCCGAAUGGGGAAACCCAGUGCAAUUCGUUGCACUAUCGUUAACUGAAUACAUAGGUUAACGAGGCGAACCGGGGGAACUGAAACAUCUAAGUACCCCGAGGAAAAGAAAUCAACCGAGAUUCCCCCAGUAGCGGCGAGCGAACGGGGAGCAGCCCAGAGUCUGAAUCAGCUUGUGUGUUAGUGGAACGGUCUGGAAAGUCCGACGGUACAGGGUGAUAGUCCCGUACACCAAAAUGCACAGGCUGUGAACUCGAAGAGUAGGGCGGGACACGUGGUAUCCUGUCUGAAUAUGGGGGGACCAUCCUCCAAGGCUAAAUACUCCUGACUGACCGAUAGUGAACCAGUACCGUGAGGGAAAGGCGAAAAGAACCCCGGCGAGGGGAGUGAAAAAGAACCUGAAACCGUGUACGUACAAGCAGUGGGAGCACCUUCGGGUGUGACUGCGUACCUUUUGUAUAAUGGGUCAGCGACUUAUAUUCUGUAGCAAGGUUAACCGUAUAGGGGAGCCGCAGGGAAACCGAGUCUUAACUGGGCGUUAAGUUGCAGGGUAUAGACCCGAAACCCGGUGAUCUAGCCAUGGGCAGGUUGAAGGUUGGGUAACACUAACUGGAGGACCGAACCGACUAAUGUUGAAAAAUUAGCGGAUGACUUGUGGCUGGGGGUGAAAGGCCAAUCAAACCGGGAGAUAGCUGGUUCUCCCCGAAAGCUAUUUAGGUAGCGCCUCGUGAACUCAUCUUCGGGGGUAGAGCACUGUUUCGGCUAGGGGGUCAUCCCGACUUACCAACCCGAUGCAAACUACGAAUACCGAAGAAUGUUAUCACGGGAGACACACGGCGGGUGCUAACGUCCGUCGUGAAGAGGGAAACAACCCAGACCGCCAGCUAAGGUCCCAAAGUCAUGGUUAAGUGGGAAACGAUGUGGGAAGGCACAGACAGCCAGGAUGUUGGCUUAGAAGCAGCCAUCAUUUAAAGAAAGCGUAAUAGCUCACUGGUCGAGUCGGCCUGCGCGGAAGAUGUAACGGGGCUAAACCAUGCACCGAAGCUGCGGCAGCGACACUAUGUGUUGUUGGGUAGGGGAGCGUUCUGUAAGCCUGCGAAGGUGACCUGUGAGGGUUGCUGGAGGUAUCAGAAGUGCGAAUGCUGACAUAAGUAACGAUAAAGCGGGUGAAAAGCCCGCUCGCCGGAAGACCAAGGGUUCCUGUCCAACGUUAAUCGGGGCAGGGUGAGUCGACCCCUAAGGCGAGGCCGAAAGGCGUAGUCGAUGGGAAACAGGUUAAUAUUCCUGUACUUGGUGUUACUGCGAAGGGGGGACGGAGAAGGCUAUGUUAGCCGGGCGACGGUUGUCCCGGUUUAAGCAUGUAGGCUGGUUGUCCAGGCAAAUCCGGAUAAUCAAGGCUGAGGUGUGAUGACGAGGUACUACGGUGCUGAAGUAACAAAUGCCCUGCUUCCAGGAAAAGCCUCUAAGCAUCAGGUAACAUCAAAUCGUACCCCAAACCGACACAGGUGGUCAGGUAGAGAAUACCAAGGCGCUUGAGAGAACUCGGGUGAAGGAACUAGGCAAAAUGGUGCCGUAACUUCGGGAGAAGGCACGCUGGUGUGUAGGUGAAGUCCCUGCGGAUGGAGCUGAGACCAGUCGAAGAUACCAGCUGGCUGCAACUGUUUAUUAAAAACACAGCACUGUGCAAACACGAAAGUGGACGUAUACGGUGUGACGCCUGCCCGGUGCCGGAAGGUUAAUUGAUGGGGUUAUCCGUAAGGAGAAGCUCUUGAUCGAAGCCCCGGUAAACGGCGGCCGUAACUAUAACGGUCCUAAGGUAGCGAAAUUCCUUGUCGGGUAAGUUCCGACCUGCACGAAUGGCGUAAUGAUGGCCAGGCUGUCUCCACCCGAGACUCAGUGAAAUUGAACUCGCUGUGAAGAUGCAGUGUACCCGCGGCAAGACGGAAAGACCCCGUGAACCUUUACUAUAGCUUGACACUGAACAUUGAGCCUUGAUGUGUAGGAUAGGUGGGAGGCUUUGAAGCGUGGACGCCAGUCUGCGUGGAGCCAACCUUGAAAUACCACCCUUUAAUGUUUGAUGUUCUAACGUUGGCCCCUGACCGGGGUUGCGGACAGUGUCUGGUGGGUAGUUUGACUGGGGCGGUCUCCUCCCAAAGCGUAACGGAGGAGCACGAAGGUUAGCUAAUCCUGGUCGGACAUCAGGAGGUUAGUGCAAUGGCAUAAGCUAGCUUGACUGCGAGCGUGACGGCGCGAGCAGGUGCGAAAGCAGGUCAUAGUGAUCCGGUGGUUCUGAAUGGAAGGGCCAUCGCUCAACGGAUAAAAGGUACUCCGGGGAUAACAGGCUGAUACCGCCCAAGAGUUCAUAUCGACGGCGGUGUUUGGCACCUCGAUGUCGGCUCAUCACAUCCUGGGGCUGAAGUAGGUCCCAAGGGUAUGGCUGUUCGCCAUUUAAAGUGGUACGCGAGCUGGGUUUAGAACGUCGUGAGACAGUUCGGUCCCUAUCUGCCGUGGGCGCUGGAGAAUUGAGGGGGGCUGCUCCUAGUACGAGAGGACCGGAGUGGACGCAUCACUGGUGUUCGGGUUGUCAUGCCAAUGGCACUGCCCGGUAGCUAAAUGCGGAAGAGAUAAGUGCUGAAAGCAUCUAAGCACGAAACUUGCCCCGAGAUGAGUUCUCCCUGAGACUUUAAGUCUCCUGAAGGAACGUU
rnacentral:rRNA from 1 species